rnacentral:rRNA from 1 species
AUGGUGCCUAUCGAUGACGAUAUGUCCUGGAGUAACUAUGUCAAAGCAGUUUUCAAUGGCACCGACUGGAAUUGCCUGGAGGUUUAUGUUCAGGCAGAGAAGCGUCCAUCUAUGGAGCCGGUUUCUUCGGAGCCACAGAGGUCCUGGACAAGGGAGCAGAGCCCUAGAGCUGGCGGUUUCGACUUCUUUCUGAGCAACAAGAGAAAUGAUUCACCAUCCUCAAGGAAGGAGCCUGAGUCGGCUUCAGAGUCAGAAUCCGACAUGAAGUCUGAAGAUGGCGAGGAUGAUGGCUUUGCCUACACAUUGCACCAGAGGGUUCUCGAGCUUGAGGACGAUCUCAAUGCUGCGAACCGGAAGCUGCUUGAUGCAAACGAAAAGCUCGAGGUUUUCGAGAAGAAGAGCUUGAGGUGCCGUUGCGAUUAUAAGGAAAACGGAAAUGGUGCCGAUCAAGCUACAAAGAUUACACAUACCGAGGGAGAUCUCACGUUGAUUAGGGAGAAGCUACAGUAUUCACAAGUGGAGAUUGACAGUCUCAAAAGGAGGCUCGAAGACGCCGCAACUUUGUCAGAAGAGCACUCUAGGCUGUUGGAACAAAACAAGGAACUGGAAUCUGAAAUUGUCAAUCUGAAGGAAGAAAUGGCUUCGGCAAGACUGUAUUUCGACGACAAACUAUCCGAGAGCAAGGCCGAGAUCAGCAAGUACAUUCAAGAGCUUACCGCCGUGUACAAGAAGCUGCUGCGGGAGAGGCUCACCAACAGAGCACAGAUGGGUAAGCUGCAAGAGACGAUCCGGAUCGCCGGUCAUGAGCUGGAGAAAGUUUCUGAAGAGAAAUCCCUAGUGGAGGAUCAUGUGAAGGAGCUGGAGGAGGCAAACGCCGAAGCCGAAAGGCGGAGGCAGGAGCUCAUCCAUGCCGCCGAAAUGCUGUUGGAGGACAAGUUCAGGCAUGAGGCUGAGAUCCUGACGAUGCAGCAGAGCAUCGAGGAUCUGAAGCCGAAAUUCGUGAGCAUCGCCAGAGAGAAGUCGCUGCUGAAACUCUGGUUCGCUGAUCUGGAGGUCGUUGUGGAUCGAGGGAGGAGCGUCGUAGUGGAGUAG